rnacentral:rRNA from 1 species
AUUGAACGCUGGCGGCAUGCCUUACACAUGCAAGUCGAACGGCAGCGCGGGGCAACCUGGCGGCGAGUGGCGAACGGGUGAGUAAUAUAUCGGAACAUACCCUAGAGUGGGGAUAACGUAGCGAAAGUUACGCUAAUACCGCAUACGCACUAAGGUGGAAAGUGGGGAGUUCGCAAGAACCUCAUGCUCAUGGAGUGGCCGAUAUCUGAUUAGCUAGUUGGUGAGGUAAAGGCUCACCAAGGCGACGAUCAGUAGCUGGUUUGUAGAGAACGACCAGCACACUGGAACUGAGACACGGUCCAGACUCCUACGGAGGCAGCAGUGGGGAAG